rfam:Candidatus Brennerbacteria bacterium RIFOXYD1_FTLL_41_16 rifoxyd1_full_scaffold_52, whole genome shotgun sequence.
GUCUCUGUAGCUCAAUAGUAGAGCGUUGCUCUGUGAAAGCAAUGGCUGGGGGUGCAAAUCCCCUCAGAGACC